AAAAAACGAACGAAAAAAAAGAGAAACAGGAGAAACGCCCCUGUAGCCCUAGCCGCCGCACCUCCUGCGCUCUGCUGCCGCCGCUGCUGUUCCUGUCUUCGCCGGCGCCGCCGCUGGUGCAGCCGCCGCCGGUCGCCACAGCCGUCGUCGUCCACAGCCGGUCGUUGGAAGGAGGGAGAGAAGGCAGAGACGAACAGGAAGGAAGGAAAGAAGGGGAAAUUUGAUAGAAGAAGGGAAAUUUGGGGAAUUUGGUACCUAAUGACAUUGAUCGGCAUGGGGCGGGAGUAGCACCCUUGGACUACACAUUAUUAUUGCACACAACUGAAAUUUAGUUUUAGACUAUUUUUUUGCUCAGCAUAAGUUUUGCAUAGAACUUAUAAAGGUCAUUUAAGGUUCUGAUCCUUAUUUUUCACGUGGGAUUUGUGGAGCUAGGAUGGUUUGGAUUGUGUGGAUUAUAUCGGUAUUGACCUUUCUUAUCACUGCCUGUCGUGGAUGUCUGUAUUUUUAGGGGAGACUCUGCCAAAAUUUCUAAUAAUUUUGGGACUUAGUUUUCGAGUGUAUUUGUAUUUUGGUGUGGCAUUCUAGGUACGUGGUUACCUGGGGUGUUAUAGGGCAGGCUUCACUCAAGGUGGAAAAAAAAUGAAAACAGUAAAUGUGUAUUAAUAAUGAAAAAUUGGAUCCCCUAUUACACACCCCUCGGGGUCUUUUUAUAGUUUUA